GACGAACGCUGGCGGCGUGCUUAAUACAUGCAAGUCGAACGGAAAGGCCCUGAUUUUGCGGGGUUCUCGAGAGGCGAACGGGUGUGAAAAACGCGUGUAUACUGUCCUUGACAUUGGGAUAUAUUCAGGAAAAAGGGGAUAAAACACGAUAGGAGAUUCUGCUGCACGGUGGGGGUAGGAAAGAUUCGGCGGUUGUGGAUGGAAUCGCGGCUUAUCCGCUUGUUGGUGAGGUAGUGUCUUACCAAGGCUUCGACGGGUAGCCGGCCUGAGAGGGGGACCGGCCACAUUGGGACUGAGGUAGGGCCCAUACGCCUACGUGGGGCAGCGGUGGGAAACUUUGCGCAAUGGGCCGAAGCCUGAUACAGCAACGUCGCGUGCGGAAUGUCGGCCUUCGGGUUGUAAACCGCUUUCGCCUGUGACGAUGCGUGAGUGACGGUAAUUGGUAAGAAAGCACCGGCUAACUACGUG
rnacentral:rRNA from 1 species